CAGCAGCCGCGGUAAUACCGAGGGUGCGAGCGUUAAUCGGAUUUACUGGGCGUAAAGCGUGCGUAGGCGGCUUCUUAAGUCGGAUGUGAAAUCCCUGAGCUUAACUUAGGAAUUGCAUUCGAUACUGGGAAGCUAGAGUAUGGGAGAGGAUGGUAGAAUUCCAGGUGUAGCGGUGAAAUGCGUAGAGAUCUGGAGGAAUACCGAUGGCGAAGGCAGCCAUCUGGCCUAAUACUGACGCUGAGGUACGAAAGCAUGGGGAGCAAACAGGAUUAGAUACCCCUGUAGUCCCUGUCUCUUAUAA
rnacentral:rRNA from 1 species